GACGAACGCUGGCGGCGUGCUUAACACAUGCAAGUCGAACGGAAAGGCCCUGCUUUUGUGGGGUGCUCGAGUGGCGAACGGGUGAGUAGCACGUGAGUAACCUGCCCUUGACUUUGGGAUAACUUCAGGAAACUGGGGCUAAUACCGGAUAGGAGCUCCUGCUGCAUGGUGGGGGUUGGAAAGUUUCGGCGGUUGGGGAUGGACUCGCGGCUUAUCAGCUUGUUGGUGGGGUAGUGGCUUACCAAGGCUUUGACGGGUAGCCGGCCUGAGAGGGUGACCGGCCACAUUGGGGCUGAGAUACGGCCCAGACUCCUACGGGAGGCAGCAGUGGGGAAUAUUGCACAAUGGGCGGAAGCCUGAUGCAGCAACGCCGCGUGCGGGAUGACGGCCUUCGGGUUGUAAACCGCUUUCGCCUGUGACGAAGCGUGAGUGACGGUAAUGGGUAAAGAAGCACCGGCUAACUACGUG
rnacentral:rRNA from 1 species